rnacentral:rRNA from 1 species
GUGUCAGCCGCCGCGGUAAGACGAACCGUGCGAACGUUGUUCGGAAUCACUGGGCUUAAAGGGCGCGUAGGCGGGCCGGACAGUCGGAGGUGAAAGCCCCCAGCUUAACUGGGGAAGUGCCCCCGAUACUGCCGGCCUUGAGGGGGGUAGGGGCGUGCGGAACUUCCGGUGGAGCGGUGAAAUGCGUAGAUAUCGGAAGGAACACCGGUGGCGAAGGCGGCACGCUGGGCCCACCCUGACGCUGAGGCGCGAAAGCCAGGGGAGCGAACGGGAUUAGAUACCCCCGUAGUCC